rnacentral:rRNA from 1 species
AUUGAACGCUGGCGGCAUGCCUUACACAUGCAAGUCGAACGGCAGCACGGGAGCAAUCCUGGUGGCGAGUGGCGAACGGGUGAGUAAUAUAUCGGAACGUGCCCAGUCGUGGGGAUAACGUAGCGAAAGCUACGCUAAUACCGCAUACGAUCUAUGGAUGAAAGCGGGGGAUCGCAAGACCUCGCGCGAUUGGAGCGGCCGAUAUCAGAUUAGGUAGUUGGUGAGGUAAAGGCUCGCCAAGCCGACGAUCUGUAGCUGGUCUGAGAGGACGACCAGCCACACUGGGACUGAGACACGGCCCAGACUCCUACGGGAGGCAGCAGUGGGGAAUUUUGGACAAUGGCGCAAGCCUGAUCCAGCAAUGCCGCGUGCAGGAUGAA